AUUGAACGCUGGCGGCAGGCCUAACACAUGCAAGUCGAGCGGAUGAAGAGAGAUUGCUCUCUGAUUUAGCGGCGGACGGGUGAGUAAUGCCUAGGAAUCUGCCUGGUAGUGGGGGUUAACGUCCGGAAACGGGCGCUAAUACCGCAUACGUCCUACGGGAGAAAGCAGGGGCCCUUCGGGCCUUGCGCUAUCAGAUGAGCCUAGGUCGGAUUAACUAGUUGGUGAGGUAAGGGCUCACCAAGGCUACGAUCCGUAACUGGUCUGAGAGGAUGAUCAGUCAAACGGGAACUGAGACACGGGCCAGACUCCUACGGGAGGCAGCAGUGGGGAAUAUUGGACAAUGGGCGAAAGCCUGAUCCAGCCAUGCCGCGUGUGUGAAGAAGGUCUUCGGAUUGUAAAGCACUUUAAGUUGGGAGGAAGGGCAGUAAGUUAAUACCUUGCUGUUUUGACGUUACCGACAGAAUAAGCACCGGCUAACUUCGUGCCAGCCGCCGCCGUAAGAC
rnacentral:rRNA from 1 species